rnacentral:rRNA from 1 species
CCUACGGGAGGCAGCAGUAGGGAAUUUUCCACAAUGGGCGCAAGCCUGAUGGAGCAAUCCCGCGUGAACGAUGAAGGUCCUACAAGAUCGUAAAGUUCUUUUAUUUGAGACGAAAUACUAAAAUAGGAAAUGAUUUUAGUUUGACUGUAUCAAUUG